AUGAUUUGAUCCGCGAGCCAUUAGACGCCAGAACGUGCAGACCAUGGGCUAAUAGAAUAGUGUCACAUAACGUUUCGAUUACAACCCAGACCAAGGGACUCACUAACUGUUCACUACAGGUCUUAAAGGGAUCGAGACACAUGGAAAACAUCAGGUUGGGUCACCACAGCAACCUUGGAUGGAGGCGAAGUAAGAGGAGAGGGCGAUCGCUCAUUAUGAUUACUACCUGGACAAAAUGCAUCCGAAUACUACCUCUACUAGAACUGCCUCUACAUACGAGAUAGACAAGAUGAGACCAGAGCAUGGGCUAUCAGAAGAUGAUGAUGGCCUCCGAAAUUAUAAACUGAUAUUGUUCCA